AUUGAACGCUGGCGGCAGGCCUAACACAUGCAAGUCGAGCGCGCGGCGGACGGGGGAGUAAUGUCUGGGAAACUGCCUGAGGGAGGGGGGAAAAUACUGGAAAAGGUAGCUAAUAUCGCAUACCCUCCAGUGUGCCCAGAUGGGAUUAGCUAGUAGGGGGGGGAAUGGCUCACCUAGGCGACGAUCCCUAGCUGUGGCUUGAGGAUGACCAGCCACACUGGGACUGAGAAACGGUCCAGACUCCAACGGGGGGCAGCAUGGGGGAAUAUGGCACAAUGGGCGCAAGCCUGAUGCAGCCAUGCCGCGUGUAUGAAGAAGGCCUUCGGGUUGUAAAGCACUUUCAGCGGGGAGGCGUUACCCGCAGAAGAAGCACCGGCUAACUCCGUGCCAGCAGCCGCGGUAAUAC
rnacentral:rRNA from 1 species